rnacentral:rRNA from 1 species
UACGUAGGGGGCGAGCGUUGUCCGGAUUUAUUGGGCGUAAAGAGCUCGUAGGCGGUUUGGUAAGUCGGGUGUGAAAUCUCCACGCUCAACGUGGAGGGGCCACUCGAUACUGCCAUGACUCGAGUCCGGUAGAGGAGUGUGGAAUUCCCGGUGUAGCGGUGAAAUGCGUAGAUAUCGGCAGGAACACCAGUGGCGAAGGCGACUUCCUGGCCUGUUCUUGACGCUGAGGCGCGAAAGCUAGGGUAGCAAACAGG